AUGUUGGCGAUGUUGCGGAUGGUGAAGGCCUCGCCGGGCUCCAGGCCCAGGGUGACCGAGGGGCACACACGGGAGUCGGCGCACGCGAACACCUUGAACUUCUCGAACCCGGUCUUGAGGCGCUCCACGGCGGCGUCCAUCUGCAAGGGGAGGAGAGGAGAGGAUCAACACCAAAUUAGUUGCCGUCGCGUCGCCACACACUCGCAGCAAGAAGAAACAAAUAAACACUCGAUAUGCAUCAUGCGAAUUUCGAGAGAGAGAGAGAGAGAGAGAGAGAGAGCUGUGCCCACGGAAAGGGAGAGCGUGCGCAAGCAAAGGCGAUUCAAGAGGAUAACUAAAUGCUUUACAACAGCAACAAAAAAGAAAGAAAAGCUGAAAGGGCAAGCUGUGAACUGA
rnacentral:rRNA from 1 species